GUCUACCGCUAUGCCACCCUGAACUGCUCGAUCUCUUCUGAUUUUGGAAGCUAAGCAGUGUUGGGCUUGGUUAGUACUUGGAUGGGAGACCACCUAGGAAGACCAGGUGCUGUAGGCU
rnacentral:rRNA from 1 species